GAUAAUGUGGCCGAGUGGUCUAUGGCGCUGGUUUUAGGCACCAGUCUCUUCUGAGGCAAGGGUUCGAAUCCCUUCACUGUCA
rnacentral:tRNA from 1 species